UUUCCGUAGGUGAACCUGCGGAAGGAUCAUUAUUGUAUAACCGAGGUGCGAGGGCUGUCGCUGACCCGAAAGGUCGUGCACGCCCGAGUGCCCUCACACACAUCCAUCUCACCCCUAUGUGCACCACCGCGUGGGUCCCCCUUUGGCUUGUUCGGAGGGGGGCUUACGUUUUCACACAAACUUUGUAUGCAGUGUAGAAUGUAUUUUUUUGUUUUUGCGAUCACGCAAUCAAUACAACUCUCAACAACGGAUCUCUUGGCUCUC
rnacentral:misc_RNA from 1 species